AUGACGAUGCUCGAUGAGAGUAGGGAAGCUCGGGUCGAUAACAGGUCUGUGAUGCCCGUAGAUGUCCCGGGCGCCACGCGCACUACAGUGGGAGAGGGUUACGUGAAACGGAGCUCUCUUGCGGUUGGGAUUGACGUUUGUAAAUAUGUCAUGAACGCGGAAUUCCUAGUAGCGUGCCGUCACUAACGGCAGGCGAAUGAGUCCCUGUUCUUUGUACACACCGCCCGUCGUUAUCUAAGAUGGAUGUGCGGAUGAAGUUGGCUAGGCCAAAAGAAUCCGUGCCACUAGAUUGGAUACAAGUCGUAACAAGGUUGCAGUAGGUGAACCUGCCGCAGGAUCAAUAA
rnacentral:rRNA from 1 species